rnacentral:tRNA from 1 species
GCGCUUAUAGCUCAGACGGUUAGAGCACCACACUGAUAAUGUGGGGGUCGGAGGUUCAAGUCCUCCUAAGCGCACCA